GAUGAACGCUGGCGGCGUGCCUAAUACAUGCGAGUCGAGCGAACAGACGAGGAGCUUGCUCCUCUGACGUUAGCGGCGGACGGGUGAGUAACACGUGGAUAACCUACCUAUAAGACUGGGAUAACUUCGGGAAACCGGAGCUAAUACCGGAUAAUAUAUUGAACCGCAUGGUUCAAUAGUGAAAGACGGUUUUGCUGUCACUUAUAGAUGGAUCCGCGCCGCAUUAGCUAGUUGGUAAGGUAACGGCUUACCAAGGCGACGAUGCGUAGCCGACCUGAGAGGGUGACCGGCCAACCUGGAACUGAGACACGGUCCAGACUCCUAGGGGAGGCAGCAGUAGGGAAUCUUCCGCAAUGGGCGAAAGCCUGACGGAGCAACGCCGCGUGAGUGAUGAAGGUCUUCGGAUCUUAAAACUCUGUUAUUAGGGAAGAAAAAAUGUGUAAGUAACUAUGCACGUCUUGACGGUACCUAAUCAGAAGGCCACGGCUAACUACGUG
rnacentral:rRNA from 1 species